AGUCGCAAAAGAGGAACAACUCAGACCAGCAACUAAGGUCCCGAAGAAUAUGCUAAGUUGAUCUAACGAUGUUUUGUUGCAGAGACAGCUAGGAUGUUAGCUUGGAAGCAGCUAUUCAUUCAAAGAGUGCGUAACAGCUCACUAGUCGAGCGACAGAGCGUGGAUAAUAAACGGGCAUCAAGCAUAUCACCGAAGUUCUGGGCGCGAGAGCGCGGUAGGGGAGCAUUCCAUUCAGCGUCGAAGCAGUUUCGUGAGGAAUUGUGGAGCGUAUGGAAAAGCAAAUGUAGGCAUGAGUAACGAUAAUGCGGGAGAGUAACCCGCACACCGCAAGACCAAGGUUUCCUGAUCAACGCUAAUCGGAUCAGGGUUAGUCGGGUCCUAAGGGUAAGCCGAACGGCGAUCUCGAUGGAUAAUCGGUUAAUAUUCCGAUACUAACAUAUACCUCGAUGGAGAGACGAAGGAACGUAAGUGCCGCCACCUGACGGAAUAGGUGGUUAAAGGGCGUAGGUAUAGGGGCAGAUUAAGAGUUAGUCCUUGCUGAAACCUGACAGUACAGAGAGCCUACGGGCAAUUUGAUAGUGCACCCAAGUCGACUUCCGAGAAAAUCUUCUAAGUUAUAGUAUAUGUUACCCGUACCGUAAACCGACACAGGUGGUCGAGGAGAGUAUCCUAAGGUGCUCGAGUGAAUCACGGUUAAGGAACUAGGCAAAUUAACCCCGUAACUUCGGGAAAAGGGGUCCCUAUGAAAGUAGGGCGCAGCGAAGAGGUCCAGGCGACUGUUUAUCAAAAACACAGGGCUCUGCAAAUUCGAAAGAAGACGUAUAGGGCCUGACACCUGCCCGGUGCUGGAAGGUUAAGAGGGGAUGUCAUCGCAAGAGAAGCAUUGAAUCGAAGCCCCAGUAAACGGCGGCCGUAACUAUAACGGUCCUAAGGUAGCGAAAUUCCUUGUCGGGUAAGUUCCGACCUGCACGAAUGGUGUAAUGAUCUGGACACUGUCUCAUCCGUGAGCUCAGUGAAAUUGUAGUCCCGGUGAAGAUGCCGGGUACCCGCAACGGGACGAAAAGACCCCGUGAACCUUUACUAUAGCUUAACGCUGAAUUUGGGUACACAAUGUGUAGGAUAGGCCGGAGGCUUUGAAGCGGGCACGCCAGUGUUCGUGGAGCCGACGUUGAAAUACGGCCCUUUGUGUAUUUGAGUUCUAACCCUGCGAAGGGGACACCGUUUGGUGGGUAGUUUGACUGGGGUGGUCGCCUCCAAAAGCGUAACGGAGGCUUCCCAAGGUACCCUCAGCACGAAUGGUAACCGUGCGCGGAGUGCAAUAGCAUAAGGGUGCUUGACUGUGAGACAUACAAGUCGACCAGGUACGAAAGUAGGGUAUAGUGAUCCGGUGGUUCUGCGUGGACUGGCCAUCGCUCAAAGGAUAAAAGGUACUCCGGGGAUAACAGGCUGAUCGCCGCCAAGAGCUCAUAUCGACGCGGCGGUUUGGCACCUCGAUGUCGGCUCGUCACAUCCUGGGGCUGGAGAAGGUCCCAAGGGUUCGGCUGUUCGCCGAUUAAAGUGGCACGCGAGCUGGGUUCAGAACGUCGUGAGACAGUUCGGUCUCUAUCUGUUGCGGGCGUAGGAAGAUUGAGGGGUCCUGACUUUAGUACGAGAGGACCGAGUUGGACGAACCUCCGGUGUAUCGGUUAUGCUGCCAAGUGUACUGCCGAGUAGCCGCGUUCGGUCUGGAUAAGCGCUGAAAGCAUCUAAGCGCGAAGCCAUCCCCAAGAUAAGUCUUCCCUUGAGGGGCGUAGGAGACUACUACGUUGAUAGGCUGCAGGUGUAAAGACAGCAAUGUCAAAGCCGAGCAGUACUAAUUACCCGAUAGGCUUUCUU
rnacentral:rRNA from 1 species